AGAGUUUGAUCCUGGCUCAGGAUGAACGCUAGCUACAGGCUUAACACAUGCAAGUCGAGGGGCAGCAUGAACUUAGCUUGCUAAGUUUGAUGGCGACCGGCGCACGGGUGAGUAACACGUAUCCAACCUGCCGAUGACUCGGGGAUAGCCUUUCGAAAGAAAGAUUAAUACCCGAUGGCAUAGUUCUUCCGCAUGGUAGAACUAUUAAAGAAUUUCGGUCAUCGAUGGGGAUGCGUUCCAUUAGGUUGUUGGCGGGGUAACGGCCCACCAAGCCUUCGAUGGAUAGGGGUUCUGAGAGGAAGGUCCCCCACAUUGGAACUGAGACACGGUCCAAACUCCUACGGGAGGCAGCAGUGAGGAAUAUUGGUCAAUGGGCGAGAGCCUGAACCAGCCAAGUAGCGUGAAGGAUGACUGCCCUAUGGGUUGUAAACUUCUUUUAUAAAGGAAUAAAGUCGGGUAUGGAUACCCGUUUGCAUGUACUUUAUGAAUAAGGAUCGGCUAACUCCGUGCCAGCAGCCGCGGUAAUACGGAGGAUCCGAGCGUUAUCCGGAUUUAUUGGGUUUAAAGGGAGCGUAGAUGGAUGUUUAAGUCAGUUGUGAAAGUUUGCGGCUCAACCGUAAAAUUGCAGUUGAUACUGGAUAUCUUGAGUGCAGUUGAGGCAGGCGGAAUUCGUGGUGUAGCGGUGAAAUGCUUAGAUAUCACGAAGAACUCCGAUUGCGAAGGCAGCCUGCUAAGCUGCAACUGACAUUGAGGCUCGAAAGUGUGGGUAUCAAACAGGAUUAGAUACCCUGGUAGUCCACACGGUAAACGAUGAAUACUCGCUGUUUGCGAUAUACAGCAAGCGGCCAAGCGAAAGCGUUAAGUAUUCCACCUGGGGAGUACGCCGGCAACGGU
rnacentral:rRNA from 1 species